rnacentral:tRNA from 1 species
GUGGUAAUAGCUCAAUUGGUAGAGCACUGGCUUGCCAAGUCAGAUGUUGCGAGUUCAAGUCUCGUUUACCGCAC